GGCCCAGUGGCAUGCGGGAUGAAUCUGCCAUUUUUGAUUCAACGUGAAGUCCAUAAGCAGAGGUUCCCGGUUCGACUCCGGGCUGGGCCA